GUCACAACUUCGCUGGUUUGGCGUGCCAACUUAAAUUCCCCGUAGACGGCCAUGCGAUGGUUGGCAAGUGGUCUUGCGUUGUGGGCUGCACAAACCACUCCCCGAAUACUCGGAGAGUCUGCUAUCACAGGUUUCAGAGUGACAGCGCUCUCCGCGCGAAGCGGAUCUUGUGUUCCCAUUACUGUGUUGACACUCGCCGCUACGCUUGAGGAGUGGGCUGGGCGCGGGCACGCGGGCAGACCGACAGACUGUGUUCGCCGAUGACCUUGAGCCACGAGUAGUUUUCACGGCGCGCGUUGAGAUGGCGCUACAGAAUGGGGUCUCAGGGGCUCGCGCGCAAAGAAAGAUCUUCCUGAAAACUUUGUGUGCAUGCGUUGCCCUAUUCCUGUGAGCCCUGUCAGCGUCAGUGCAUUUGUUUUGCUGAUUCGUGUAUUGCGAUUGAGUGCACGUAUACCUCGACGCUGUGUAUGAUGCCUUUAGCGGCCUUGUCACUGGCUGCGCCUCGAAAUGGGCAAAAAAUGUUUUGUCCCGAAUUGCAGGUCGGGGUAUAGGACUUGUACGGAGCGUGUGUCGCUUUUCAAGGCUCCACGUGAACCAGAGCGCUUAGAUAAGUGGCGACGGGCGAUUCCGAGAGCGGACAGAGUUUUGAAGCCUACUGACCACGUGUGCGCGAAACAUUUCCCGGAAGAAGCGAUCUCUGUGGCAUAUCACGCAGAGUACAAGGGAAACGUCCUGUUGCACGCCCGAAAGAAACCUACGCUCUCUUCGGAUGCUGUGCCUAGCAUUUUCCACGGCUGCCCAAACUACCUGACCGUGCAGCAAAGAACCGGGAAACCUUCGCGAAAACGGCAGGCUCUACUGCCGACUUCUCGGAAGCGACGGGGGCCAAAAGGUUCAACUGCUUCGGAAGUGCCUUACCCGACCGCUGAAUGUACGCCACAUUUAUUGCACGUAGAGACGACUCCACGGCAUGGCGAUGCUGAAUCAACGGGCACGCAAAGCAAGAGGCCGCGCUUCGACUUCUGCAGCGACGAGCCUACUCCACGUGAACAGGAGGCUUCGGAACACAACACUGAUUGUGUGAGUGGCCUAUGCGCCAGCGACUCACGUCGUCAUCAAGCGGGAAAGCAGCAUUCCCGUGAAGCUCUUGCCGCACCAGAGGCUGACCAUGCAGAGAGCAGCAAUCGGCGUGACUUGAGCUGCCAAGGGAACACCACCACCCAGUGCACUGAGGGAUCUCAGCCAUAUACGCGUGACGUCGAUGUUUAUGUGCAGACAACUGCUCGAGCACAGAGCACUAAGGCUGUACAGGCGUGCAUCAAGAAGCAAUCUAUUGGUGUCCAGACCAAGCCCGCUGCCUACUUAUGAUAGCUGCUACCAAACUGACGACUGGUAGCAGUACAGUGAUGAGGGGUCCAGGCCAGCCCGCUGCCUAUACUGAUGACAGCUGUGACCAAAGUGACUACGCGCUGCUGCACAAUGAUGAGGUACUACCAGAAUGGAGGCCUUUGUGCUCUACGUCAAGGCAUGAUGCAAAUGCCCCGAGUCUGAACCUGAGCAUGCGUGCAAAUUUGAUUGCAGUUAUGUAUUAGUUUUACGAGGCACUUCAGAGAACUACCAGCACUGUAUGCAAUUGUUAGGAAUAUUUCAGGACGGACUACCUCGGACAUGAUACAUUCAGCUGUGAGGACAAGGAACCAGACAUUCGGAUAUGUCAUCCGGCGCUCCGAACUGUGCCAUAACUUGUGGGUGGGUUGCCGCACCCCCUUCCACGUUUUCCUGAAGACGCUCACGUACAGAUGCUCCGGGCCCCGCCACGGUGGUCUAGUGGCUACGGCGCUCGACUGCUCACCCGAAGGUCGCGGGAUCGAAUCCCGGCCGCGGCGCGGCUGCAUUUUCGAUGGAGACGAAAAUAUUUGAGGCCCGUGUGCUUAGAUUAGGUG
rnacentral:lncRNA from 1 species